UACGGAGGGGGCCAGCGUUGUUCGGAAUUAUUGGGCGUAAAGAGCGUGUAGGCGGCUAGAUAGGUCCGUUGUGAAAACUCGAGGCUCAACCUCGAGACGUCGAUGGAAACCAUCUAGCUAGAGUCCGGAAGAGGAGAGUGGAAUUCCUGGUGUAGCGGUGAAAUGCGCAGAUAUCAGGAAGAACACCCGUGGCGAAGGCGGCUCUCUGGUACGUGACUGACGCUGAGACGCGAAAGCGUGGGGAGCAAACAGG
rnacentral:rRNA from 1 species